UACGGAGGGUGCAAGCGUUAUCCGGAUUCACUGGGUUUAAAGGGUGUGUAGGCGGGUAUUUAAGUCAGUGGUGAAAUCUCCGGGCUCAACCCGGAAACUGCCAUUGAUACUAUUUAUCUUGAAUUCUGUUGAGGUGGGCGGAAUAUAUCAUGUAGCGGUGAAAUGCUUAGAUAUGAUAUAGAACACCGAUUGCGAAGGCAGCUCACUAAACAGACAUUGACGCUGAGGCACGAAAGCGUGAGGAUCAAACAGGAUUAGAUACCCUGGUAGUCCACGCCCUAAACGAUGAUUACUCGACAUACGCGAUAUUACUGUGUGUGUCUGAGCGAAAGCAUUAAGUAAUCCACCUGGGAAGUACGUCCGCAAGGAUGAA
rnacentral:rRNA from 1 species